GUGGAUAGACUGCGUGUCCCGGGAUUGUAACUAAGGGUGGCCGUCGGAUGGUGUUAGAUGGGACUGGAUCGGGUGAGUGCGGUGGAUCACCGAAACACGAUGCUGGGUGGGACGCUGUUCACGGGAGCCGUUGGAUCUGACACACGGUGAGAUCGGACGAUCAAUGGAACAUGCGAACCGGGAAACCAAUCAGGGUCGUGCUUCGUGAGCAC
rnacentral:lncRNA from 1 species